UAGGGAAUCUUCGGCAAUGGGGGCAACCCUGACCGAGCAACGCCGCGUGAGUGAAGAAGGUUUUCGGAUCGUAAAGCUCUGUUGUAAGUCAAGAACGAGUGUGAGAGUGGAAAGUUCACACUGUGACGGUAGCUUACCAGAAAGGGACGGCUAACUACGUGCCAGCAGCCGCGGUAAUACGUAGGUCCCGAGCGUUGUCCGGAUUUAUUGGGCGUAAAGCGAGCGCAGGCGGUUUGAUAAGUCUGAAGUUAAAGGCUGUGGCUCAACCAUAGUUCGCUUUGGAAACUGUCAAACUUGAGUGCAGAAGGGGAGAGUGGAAUUCCAUGUGUAGCGGUGAAAUGCGUAGAUAUAUGGAGGAACACCGGUGGCGAAAGCGGCUCUCUGGCUUGUAACUGACGCUGAGGCUCGAAAGCGUGGGGAGCAAACAGGAUUAGAUACCCUGGUAGUCCACGCCGUAAACGAUGAGUGCUAGGUGUUAGACCCUUUCCGGGGUUUAGUGCCGCAGCUAACGCAUUAAGCACUCCGCCUGGGGAGUACGACCGCAAGGUUG
rnacentral:rRNA from 1 species